GAUGCAAGCGUUAUCCGGAAUCAUUGGGCGUAAAGCGCCUGUAGGUUGUUUAAUAAGUCUGUUGUUAAAGACUAGGGCUUAACCCUAGGAAAGCAAUGGAAACUACUAGACUUGAGUAUGAUAGGGGUAGAGGGAAUUUCUAGUGUAGCGGUGAAAUGCGUAGAUAUUAGAAAGAACACCGGUGGCGAAGGCGCUCUACUGGAUCAUUACUGACACUCAGAGGCGAAAGCUAGGGUAGCAAAAGGGAUUAGAUACCCCUGUAGUCCUAGCCGUAAACGAUGGAUACUACAUGUUGCGUUUUUAAUGCAGUAUGGUAGCUAACGCGUUAAGUAUCCCGCCUGGGGAGUACGCUCGCAAGGGUGAAACUCAAAGGAAUUGACGGGGGCCCGCACAAGCGGUGGAGCAUGUGGUUUAAUUCGAUGCAACGCGAAGAACCUUACCAAGGCUUGACAUACUACAAAUUUCUUUGAAAGAGGAAAGUGCCUUCGGGAAUGUAGAUACAGGUGGUGCAUGGCUGUCGUCAGCUCGUGUCGUGAGAUGUUGGGUUAAGUCCCGCAACGAGCGCAACCCUUGUUUUUAGUUGCUAAUUUAUUUAGGUUUUCUAGAAAGACUGCCGGUGACAAACCGGAGGAAGGUGAGGAUGACGUCAAGUCAGCAUGCCCCUUAUGCCUUGGGCUACACACGUGCUACAAUGGUUAAGACAAAGAGUUGCGAGCUCGCGAGAGUCAGCUA
rnacentral:rRNA from 1 species